rnacentral:tRNA from 1 species
GCUUGGGUAGCUCAGUUGGUUAAGCGUCUGACUUCCACUCAGGUCAUGAUCUCACAGUUCGUGGGUUCGAGCCCCGCGUCUGGCU